GACGAACGCUGGCGGCGUGCCUAAUACAUGCAAGUCGAACGAGAGCGACCGGUGCUUGCACUGGUCAAUCUAGUGGCGAACGGGUGAGUAACACGUGGGUAACCUGCCCAUCAGAGGGGGAUAACAUCCGGAAAUGGAUGCUAAAACCGCAUAGGUCUUCGAACCGCAUGGUUUGAAGAGGAAAAGAGGCGCAAGCUUCUGCUGAUGGAUGGACCCGCGGUGCAUUAGCUAGUUGGUGAGGUAACGGCUCACCAAGGCCGUGAUGCAUAGCCGACCUGAGAGGGUGAUCGGCCACAUUGGGACUGAGACACGGCCCAAACUCCUACGGGAGGCAGCAGUAGGGAAUCUUCCGCAAUGGACGCAAGUCUGACGGAGCAACGCCGCGUGAGUGAAGAAGGUUUUCGGAUCGUAAAACUCUGUUGUUAGAGAAGAACAAGUGCUAGAGUAACUGUUAGCGCCUUGACGGUAUCUAACCAGAAAGCCACGGCUAACUACGUG
rnacentral:rRNA from 1 species